GAUGAAGAACGUAGCGAAAUGCGAUAAGUAAUGCGAAUUGCAGAAUUCAGUGAGUCAUCGAAUCUUUGAACGCACAUUGCGCCCUGUGGUAUUCCGCAGGGCAUGCCUGUUCGAGCGUCAUUUCAACCCUCAAGCCCCGCUUGGUGUUGGGCCCCGCCCGCUGUGGCCGGCCCUAAAGACAGUGGCGGCGCCGCCUGGCCCUCAGCGUAGUACAUCUCUCGCUCCAGGGUCCGGUGGCCGCCUGCCAGAACCCCCCCACUCUGUGGUUGACUUCGGAUCAGGUAGGGAUACCCGCUGAACUUAAGCAUAUCAAUAAGCGGAGGA
rnacentral:misc_RNA from 1 species